AUGAAGUCUGCAGGAAAGAGGCUUUUGGCCCGCCGAAGGAGUAAAACUCUCAGGUACCCGUAUUUCGGGCAGAAA
rnacentral:ncRNA from 2 species